AAAACAUAGCAGCAAAGAGAACACAAUCAACACAACAACGUGGAAAAAAUAAAGUAAAACAAGCAUCCUGUGACAGCUCCCUAUGCCACAGUCCACAGAGCAUUCAUUAAGGUUCUUCAAGAUGUAUAAAAUACAUAGCGAAUGGUGUUUUUUCGUUGGACAUUUCUUGGGGUUAUAACUUAUAAAUUUAACAUCUGAUCUAGAGCUUGGAUGUCCAGUACCAGUUAAGCAGUUUACUGGUAUUACAUAGUUAACAUAUUAAUUAGAACUUUAUAACAACCACAUUCUAUGACAUAGACCAACUAGUUAAUACUUUAUUUCUGCAGAUGGUAGGUUGACUGAGAUUGUCGUAAUAAUGAUCCCUACUUGAACAGAAUGGCCGCGUUGACAGUCUUAUUAAUUUCAAUCCAGCUUUCUGGUAGCGCAAGAAAACCAGAACAUUUUUCAAGAUGAUAGUGUUCGUUUAAUUAACUUGAUACUCCAUUAAAGUCCACGUUCACAAACAGAAAGAAAAUCUAAUUUCCAGGGUAAGGUCCCACCAUUAUAGGGUCCAGGAAUGGAAUCCAGAUUAUCUUCCUUCUAGGCCAUAACAUAGCUUUACUACUGCCAGUUUCAUAGGGGCAACGAGCUUUGAAUUUCUGUUGCCCUACUUUGACAAACAAUGGACCUAAACCCAAGACAACAAUUUUGAGACUAAUCCUCCACACUUCGGUUUCAAACAAAGAAAAAGAAACCCACGUUUUGAUGUGACCCACACAAAUCACGCAUCGCGAAAGGAAAAAAGUGACUGAAAAAGAAA